rnacentral:tRNA from 1 species
GCGGCUGUGAUGGAAUGGCAGACAUGCGGGCCUCAGACGCUCGUGCAGCGAAAGCUCACUUGUGGGUUCAAGUCCCACUGGCCGCACCA